AUGGCGGACAGCAAGCAGAGUGGCUGGGUUAGAGUGGAUCUAAACAGUCAAGUCCAAGGUGGAGCAUCUUCACUGUCACAGGGACUCCCCUCAGGUACCUCCACAUUUCUCCACGUUGGAGCUUUGGUGGUCGGGGUGGGGAUGGGGUGUUUCUCUCCCUUAAGUUCUCACCUCGUGUACCACCUGGUCCACAUCUCCUCUGUCCGAGUCAAUGGUCCUGAUGGAAGGGGACAUCACCGCUCUGCCUUAGGCUCCUCCGUGGUUUAUGUCAGCUUGGUUCUGUUUGUUAUCAAAAGUUAUACAAACAGUCAACCAUCCAGCCCGAGGGGCUUCUCACCGAUUAGCCUUCAGCCCCUUCUUCCCCUCACACACAUAGUGAGCACUGGGCCCACCCGGGAGCCCCCACCCGCCCAUUUCCCUUUCAUUCACAUCUGUGAGUCCCCGGAAGGCUGAGCAUCUGGUCUUUACCAACAUUUUGCUUGCCUCCGCCUUGUCAGACCUCUAGAGCCUUUGCAAAUGCUGCUUCCUCCAUUCUUGAAUCUUCCUCAGAGCAGCCUCCUGGUGCUUUUCUGCAACUAGAUUUUCUCUUGCAAAGUUCAGAUAAGAAUUCUUUGGGCAAAGAGGUGGUAUACCAUAGAGGAUAAGAAGGGGCCUGUGUGAAUGGGUUCCAAUUCUCACUCUGCCACUCAUUAAAUUCCAUGGGCAAGUUGCUCCAGCUUUCUGAGCUUUAGUUUCUUAUCUGUAACACGGGACCACUAAGGACCUGUUCCAUAGGGUUGUUGAAGAAUGAUGGGAUCAUCCAUGUCAGGACUUAGCAUCUGACAGGGAAAUGCUCAGUGAAUGGACAACAACCCUAACACCAUGGUGAGCGAGGCUUCUGCGGAUGGUCAAUCAUGAACUCUGAGUUCAUUCUCCCAACACUUCGCCGAACAGGAUUGCACACAGCUUGAUCCAUGGUUUAGAGUUGUUUUCGGGUGGCUUUGGGGCUUACCUCAUAGCUCAGUUGGUAAAGAAUCCACCUGCAAUGCAGGAGACCGUGGUUCGAUUCCUGGGUUGAGAAGAUCCCCUGGAGAAGGGAUAGGCUACCCACUCAAGUAUCCUUGGGCUUCCCAUGUGGCUCAGCUGGUAAAGAAUCCACCUGCAAUGUGGGAGACCUAGGUUCAAUCCCUGGGUUGAGAAGAUCCCUGGAGAAGGGAAAGACUACCCACUCCAGUAUUCUGGCCUGGAGAAUUCCAUGGACUAUACAGUACAUGGGGUUGAAAAGAGUCCGACACAACUGAGCGACUUUCACUUGGGUGUGUAGGUUUAAUCUCAAAUGCUCCCUUCCCCCAUUCCCAUUCAGUGCAUCCAAAGUCUAGUUUUAAUAUCGUGCCUCUUGGAAUCUUUCCAUGUUGCUGAAGAUGGUAAAAUAAAUACUCUCUCCCAUGUUACGGAGGAGUACUCAGAAUCUUGCUUCUCUACCCUCUUGGAGCAUGUUACCACCUUACACGGGUGAGAGGGUUAGGGGUUUGCAAGGCCUGCCCAGCUACCAGACAGCUUGGAUGUUGCAUGGAACACAAAAGCAGCUGGGACCGUGUUGUUAAUGGAAAGGAUGAUUACCACGUGCUCCAGGCAACAACUGUGGGCUACUCUGCCAUAUCAUUUCCUCCCAAGGAUCCACCACAACCAAGAAUGCCUUCACAGGCAGCAAGAGUCCCCAGCCCACUUUGUUAGUAGCAGACAGCCUCCUCAAGGGAGCAGCAGUCAGCUCACUGGCUUGGAGCCAGUGGGAAAGAGCCAUUCACAGGCCCAUCCGUCAGCCACGCAGGACAAGCAACUGAGGCAGGCUCUGUGCUGCCUGCCCUGGGGAGGCUGAGUGCGGCACCCCUCCGCCAGCAGCGCAGGACUGAGGGCUGGGAAGCAAGGAGGGUAGAUGUCUGCUAGCAGGGGUGUGUGUGCUGUCACUUGGUUGGGUACAACUCUUUUUUGACCCCGAUCUGCAAGGCUCCCCUUGGAGUGCAUUGCUAUGUCCUGCCCAAGGGGAUCUUCUCAACCUGCGGAUCGAACCCAUGUCUCCUGAAUCUCUUGCAUUGGCAGGUGAAUUCUUUACCACUAGUGCCACCAGGAAGCCCCCAGACUUUGCUAAAUCUGGGUUUAUACUUCCAAAGCUGUGGAAUAUUUCAUUUAUACUUCACGGGUUUAGGAAAACCUCUCAAAGUGUGUGUGUGUGUUUCUGCGUAUCUCUGUCAAAGGAGCAAAGUACCAGGAUGAAUACUGAGGAAACUUAUAAAUGAUCAGAGCAGGAGAUAGAUAGUUAAGAAAUUCUAUCCUGAAAUAAGUACUGGCCAUUCAUGUGCUAAACAGAAAGGUGCCCUUGGGGUCUUUAUCCGGGACACUGUCCUGGUAAUCUGCUGGCAGCAGGGGUGGGUACACACAGUCUUCCCAGGUGCAGCGACAGGGGCCCUGCUGAGCCUGAAGCCAGGGGAGGAGAGCUGAGGCUCUGCGGAGGAAGCUCUCAUCUAAGACUGGCUUUGGGUGUAUGGAGGAGGGAGCUCAGGGUAGAGUCAGACAACAGAAAAUCUUCCAUUUACUGAGUGCUUGCCUGCCAUAUGUCAGGCACUUUACAUAUCCUAGUGAUACCUCACAGUCUUUCAGGUAACUGCUAAUUACCCCCAUUUUACAGAUGGGUAAACCGAGGCUUUGAGAUGAAGUAACAUGUCCAGAUGUCACAUGGCCAAUAACAGGCGAAGUCUAGGUUUGAAUGCAAAGGAUGAUUACCACGUGCUCCAGGCAACAACUGUGGGCUACUCUGCCAUAUCAUUUCCUCCCAAGGAUCCACCACAACCAAGAAUGCCUUCACAGGCAGCAAGAGUCCCCCAGCCCACUUUGUUAGUAGCAGACAGCCUCCUCAAAGGGAGAGCAGCAGUCAGCUCACUGGCUUGGAGCCAGUGGGAAAGAGCCAUUCACAGGCCCAUCCGUCAGCCACGCAGGACAAGCAACUGAGGCAGGCUCUGUGCUGCCUGCCCUGGGGAGGCUGAGUGCGGCACCCCUCCGCCAGCAGCGCAGGACUGAGGGCUGGGAAGCAAGGAGGGUAGAUGUCUG
rnacentral:lncRNA from 1 species